AGAUAAAACCUCCAAUUCCAGCAGUCGUGAUCCAGAGACGACCUCUCCCCAUGGACUGCAAAUGAUACUUGGAAUUACAAUUCCUACCACCUUGGGUCUGUGCUUGGUUCUGUAUCUAGUAAUAACGAAAGCUGCAUGUCACCGUAAAAACCAAAGGGAACAAAAUGCAAAGGAGAGCACAGACGAAACUGCAGCAGGGAAACUUAUUG